AAUGAACGUUGGCGGCAUGGAUUAGGCAUGCAAGUCGAGCGAGAAGUGUAGCAAUACACGGAAAGCGGCGGAAGGGAGAGUAAUACGUGGGAAUCUGCCCUUAGACCUGGGAUAGCAGCGGGAAACUGCUGGUAAUACCAGAUAAUGUCUAUGGACCAAAGGUGUGAUUCCGUCUAGGGAUGAGCCCACGUCCUAUUAGCUAGUUGGUAGGGUAAUGGCCUACCAAGGCGAUGAUGGGUAGCGGGUGUGAGAGCAUGACCCGCCUCACUGGGACUGAGACACUGCCCAGACACCUACGGGUGGCUGCAGUCGAGAAUCUUCGGCAAUGGGCGCAAGCCUGACCGAGCGAUGCCGCGUGCGGGAUGAAGGCCUUCGGGUUGUAAACCGCUGUCGAGGGGGAGCAACUUCCAUAGAGUUAUCUUUAUGGAUUGAGUGAUCCCUGGAGGAAGGACGGGCUAAGUUCGUGCCAGCAGCCGCCGUAACAC
rnacentral:rRNA from 1 species